AGCCACAAUAAGGAUCUUACACUUUUCAUUUGUGUUAUUGAAAAUACUAGUAAUAGUUCACUUAUUUUAAAUCUGUCUUAAACAAUAUCAAUUUUUUUUUUUUUUAAUAAUCAGGUUCUGAUUGCCAAGAUUAAAAGGAAUAAGCAGUUAUCUAUUACAAUGAAGUCUAACUCCAAGGAAUUCCAUCAAACUAAGGUGAUUUACAUCAGCCCGUGGUAUGACCCAGAGCCUUUCUUCUUAGCUAUAAGUUAUGGUACCCAGGUCUACAACUGCAUGCAGAUGGUGACAUGCUCAUAUGAGAAGCCUCAGAGGACAGAGGACAGACAUGCAACCAGGAAUUAUGUGUAA
rnacentral:lncRNA from 1 species